UUACUAUGUAUUUAAUGUUAUAAAUAGCGUCUUUUGAUUGAAAUUUCAUAUAAUUGGAAAAUUUUUAAAGCGUUAAAAGUGCAUUUCUUGAUAGUUAAUCCCUCGUUCUUAUUACAUUUUAAGCACGAGCCUCGUAGUAUGUUUCAUACUUUUCAUUUCAUUAUUUUAAAAAAGUCGUGUUAAUGUCGGACAUUAUAUCGCGAGAAAAAGAAUAGGAUAAAAGUACAUUGUGGACAGAUAUUACAAUAUAGUUUCGAUAGUGAUGGAGUCAGCAAUCUCUCUCGAAAAUAAUAUCGUCCAUAAAGGAUCCUGGGACUCGCAACUUUGGUUAGAACCCAAACACGCAUUUUCUUCCCGAUCCAUAGUCGUCGACCGUUUAUCUUCCUGCGGGAAGCCAUCUCGCACCCUUCGUGAAGAAAGUUCACCCUCCCGACACUCGAGAUAGCCAUUAACCCCGAAAAAGCCAGAUGCGAUUUUCUCGACGGACUGGCAGAAAUUAGUUCGCGGUUACUUGGUGAAAGGGAGCACGCGUCGCACCAUUUAUUAGAUCGUCCGGAUUACGAAUCGCGAAUACCAAAGUCGAGGGGAACUUAGCACUUUAGCACUUAGCAAAAUGUGGCCUCAUUUUGUAUGACAUUAACUAAACUAAUUGAUACUCAGAGGAUAAUAAGUCAAUAUGAAUUAGAAUCGUUUUUUAGAUACCAUGUGUCUUAGCCGUAAAAUAUAAAAUUAUUCAUAGGAAAAUUAUCAUGUUAAUAAACUAAAAGUAACAUUUAUAUAAUUUUCAUUGCUUCAGUUAUGCAAUUAAUCGUUAUAAUUGUAUAAUAAUUAUCUGUACAAUAAUUAAAUUGCAUCAAUAAAUUGAUCAAUUAAUCUGAUAAUGUUUUACAUUUUUAGAGGAUCUUAUAGAUUACUCGUUAACAGUAUUAUUAAAUUGAUUGUCUAUUUAAUACUGUGAUAUUACUUUUCUGAUUCAAUAUAAAAGCCGUGUUUGAGACCGAAAGUACCGGCACAAAGUUCAAAGAGUUAAAGAAAUACAUGUAAAAUCGCAUAAGAAACAUUAUUUCAGCAUGAAGAACUCGCUAUGACCGUCCAUCGACCUUUCUUGAUUUGAAUUGAUAGGAUAAUGCUCGCUUAUAAUGUUCGGACGUUAUCUUAUAUGAUGGAGCGAGGCAUAGCAACGCGAAUUACGUAUGCCAUAUUGUCCAUGUUGUCCAUACUCCGCUUCAAGUAUUUCUAUCCGCUAUUACGACGGCGGAUACAAGAUCGACAUCUUAAUCAGCGUCGGUAGACGAUAUAACACGAGCAUGUCGGCAAAGAGAAGCAGGGGGAGGAGAAGGAGGAGGAGGAGGAGACGGCGCGACGCGAAUGGAGAUGACGGAAGACGGAGAGACGAUACACGCUAUAUAGAUGGAUGCAAUUUAUUAUGUCCUUGAACGAGCAACGAACGCUCGCUCGAACGUGGAACGAGUCGCAAAGUUUGCGCGCUUUAGAACAGUACGAAAUACAAGGGACAAACUACGGGGAGUAAUAAAGUUGCUGCGACGUGGCGGGCUGAUUUAAUAGAAAAUAUGCAGAUUACGGUGCGCGGCGGCGGCGCGAGCUGCGCAAAGGCCAAGUUAAAUAAGGUAGGGGCGGGCGCGCAAUGAUGCGCCUCCGCGUCUUUAUCCGAAGCCGCUCUAAGCACCGCCAUUAAAGUAAUGGAACGAACGUUUCGCACGCGUUUAACUCUACCCCCUCUCCUCCUCCGUGGCUCCACCCUUGCGAGAUUUCGGGCUGAAAUUAUAGCCGCAGUCUGUCUUCCGCGUGUUGACUCUUUAACUCCCUUUCAAGGUAAUAAAAAUCUGAAAGUGUUCCGAUCGCGACUGUGCGAGGACGCAGGAGUUGUCGCGAGCAUUAAAAUACACGUUUAUUCCAUCGGCGAGAAAAUGCGAUACAAGCGUUCUGUAACAAUCUUCGCAAAAGUACCCCGACACGUGGGGAAAAUAAAAUUCCUCGAAAAUAUCUGAGAGCUAAUAUCAGAGAAAUAUCUGCUACAGUAGCGACAUGCGCGGAAUGUACAAACCUUCGAUUGGAAAAAGGGAGAAAUUGAAACAAGCAAUACCCUCCCAACUUGAAAACAGAGGCAUGUGUGCGGCCGACACGCGAUAAAGUAGACUAGUAGACGAUCGCUUGGAACACAAACCCUACGUAAAAUUAAUAAAAGUUUCGAUUGCCGUUGCUGUUUUCCAGCUGGAGGCAGCCCUAAACGUUAAAACACCUGAUGGAUCGCUACGUUCCACAUACCGUCUGGCCCGCGUAUAAUUCGAAGGAGCGUUCGUGCGUGAGUGCGUUCGCGGCGAAACCAGAAGCUCAAGCAAGUCACGGGAAAAAGAGCCGUUUGCUCCCGCCGCGCCGCUCUGUUUCCCCCCCCCUUUUUUUUCCCCUUUCCGCCUUUAAUAAGACGCCGUCUUUGAUGUGCUUACAAUCGCUCUUGACUUUGCGUACGCGCGCACCCGCCUCCCGACCUCGAUACAGGGAGAAUUUCGCCAAGGCGGAAUCAUAUGCCUCGGAGUCGUGCACGCGCGUAGAUCUUGGCAGCGAAAGACCGGAAUUUCACCAACGAAUAAUAAUCCUGCAUUUUCCUCUAGCAAGUGAAUUAUAAGGCAAAGUAAAAAAGAAACGUGAAUAUCUAUCUUGUGGUACGCGAUUGUAACAACAAGAAUUGCAACAAAAAUCGCAAUAAUGAAAUUGUAAUAAUAGGGAAAAAGUUGUGUGCGCGCGCGCCCGCGCACACACACACAUUUAUUAAUCCUGACUCUGACAGCCACUGCUAUUGUUAUAACAAAUUAUUCUCAAUCCAACGCGAGAGUUCGCGCAGUUGGUCCUCGGUAGAAGCGCGCGCGCGCGCGCGCGUAUAAGUGAGUUCGGCGUUGGAUACGGAACAUGGGUGUGUAUAGCCGACGGUAGGGGAAUUUCAACUCGUCUCGUCGGAGGAGAAACGAGUAAGUGCUCUCGUUGUUGCGCGAGCUCUACUACGUGGCCGACCUACGAAGCUACACACCGUGUCUAGUGCCUUGCAAUACGACGCCCGCAGCGGUGUGUUCACGCUGCACUUUACGCGAGCGACGCGCAUCGAUCGGGUUUAAUCUCAUUUUAACCUUCCGUGGGGCGCAUGGCGUGCAACUUUUAAAACUGCUUCUAAGGAUCUGGGGGUCCACCACGUCGAAAUAAGAGCCGCAGACGCGUAUCCGUGCAAAUUUUUAUAUCGUUGCUGCAUUCGUUUAGUUAUACUACUUGCCGCCGCUGUUAGUCGUCCAGAAAACCUUAUUUCAGCGAGAAUAACUUAAUAUAAGGAAGAUAAAGCGAAAGAGAAAGAGAGAGAGAGAGAGAGAGAGUGCGCGCUCUAAUCUUCAAGGGAGCUCGUUUAAUGUUAUAUGCACGCUAAAUAUUUUUAAUGGGACGCACAUUAUGAGAGAGCAUCACGUUAUUUUGCAUCCUCGCUGGUUUACGUGAUAAUUUCAAGUAUAAUCUCAUAAAACAAAACGUUUAAUAGCGUGGAAGUAAUUUACUUUAUGUCUCAUUUAUACCUUGGAAAAUUAGUUAAACGAAAAUGUCUUCAGUCAAUUACGUAGUUGGGUUAUUCGACCAAAUAUUUGUUAAACUUCCAGCCGUAUGUUUGUUGAAACUUCCAAGCAUCCAAGUUCGAGCCUGGGAUCCUUCAAUUCAAUUAAGCUUCGAUUAAGCCAAGGGGACUCUGUCAUUUCGCAUUUGGCCUGACGUACGUUUUUCCUCAGGUAUAUUAUGUAUUGUCACAUAGGUGGCAAAUCGAGUUAUCGCAACUGCCGUGACUGUUUGUAGCUUCGCAAACAGUUAUAAACGCACCCUCGAUUCCUCCGUCCUCGGCACCUCCCGAUCACGAUCCUCGGACGUUUCAUUAGCCUUAACGACCCGCGAGAGAACGGUUAACGUGGCGACACGUGAAGGUGACGUUUGUGGCAUCGCGAGGCCGUGAAGUGCCAAGGCGGCGGUAACACAUAUAUUUCAGGGUUUACGAGCGUCGCGCCGAACAAACGAACGAACGGCGCCUCCCGCGGCGCCAUCACGAGUGUCUCGAAUACAAUAAAAUGUAUAUACAUAGACGUGUAUAAAGGAUGACUGCUGAGCAUGAGUGAACUUUUUUUUUUAUCGAGGAAUAUAAAUAAAAGAUGUUUGUCGUACUAUCGCUCACGAGCGUGUAUAUAAAAAUGUGUCAAUGCAUGGGAUUGUCUGAAAUAUAUUGAACGCUCGUAGGCCUGAAUAACCGCGAGGAUAAGUCAUCCCUCCCGGGGGAACGAGCGGAUUUGUUUGACACGCCUGCCGCGGCACCUAAUAAAAGAUGCUAAUAUAUAUAUAUCCCACCCCUGAGAGAAACUGGCGAGCGCUCCGACACAGUCGAACUGACGUGAGCGCCUAUAACUCAGACGGCAGAGAAACAGAAAUCCGAGAUGUUCGGAACACCCGGAAAGGAGGGAGACUGAAGAUAGACAAGGAGGAAUUUGAGUGUUUAGGAAAUGGCGCUACGUCUGUCGCGAGACGACGAGAAUGAGGACGAGAAUAACGACGCGAGAAACCGGAGACGAAUCGGAUCCAAGUUUGCAUUUCUCUCUCUGAAAUCAUCGCGCGCGGCGCUAAUUAAUCCACACGCGAUUGAGAUUUUUUUUACAAAUUUGCAAAUGAGAAUGACGAGGCAAGGUCAGUUUGCUCAGUGUGUGCGUUCGCUGUCCUUAGCAUCUAUCCAAGAUGCCUCCGUCUCCAUUUGUCCACGAUUUCUAUUAAGUAAUCGCUCCGUCCGUUUUACCGAGCCCGAGAAAAUGGCUUUUGGUUACAGAGAAGAGACGUUGCCAAGAUAAGAGUAAUUUCCUGAACAGUAUUUCGUUCCAUGUUGGCGGGGAAAACCACGGAAAAGCGCGCCCGUGUAACGUAAUAAUGAUGAAGAGACCCGACGGCGCUUGUCACUAUUAUUUACACAGUAAUUUUUCAUUGUAUGUACAAGAUGUUGCAUAAUAAAUGAGUAAAAUUUAAAUAAUAAAUUCUUCUUUCUCAUUUCUCAGGAUUCUAUCUCGAUACACGUUUAUCGCGGAUGUCGAAUGUCUUUUUAAGAUUAAAUUCUUAAUAAUAAAAGUGCAAAACGAUUUCUACACUAACUGGAAGUAUUAUAAAACUCGUUUUGUAAAAUAAUUCGACGAUCGAUCGAAAAAUUGUCCGACCCGGAAACGGCACUUUCGUCAGAAUCGGCGUGCAAGCAGGAAUCGACGACGGUGUUGGUCUCGCGCUCGUAACUUCGGCGCGGAUUAUCUCGAUUCUGCGUUACGAGCACGCCCCGUGUCGCGCCCUUUCAGAGUCGUCGUAAUAUCUGCUCCUGCACACCACCCUCCGUUCGAGGCCGUUUCUACACGCGCGCGGGCGUUACAUUGAAAAUCCCGCAAAGUCACUUAACAUCGAACGCCGGCGGUUUAAGGUCCUGUAACGCCGCCGGAAACAGCGUAAUAAAUUCCGCAGAUAAGCGCCACCGCCACAGUAUCCGUUCUCUCUCUCUCUCUCUCUCUCUCUCUCUCUCUCUCUCUCUCUCUCUCUUUUUCUCUUUCUCCUAUACGUAUGCAAAGAACCACCGUCGCACAUCCCUCGUAUAAUUCGUCCUCUUCUUUCGCAGGACAAUAACUCUGCAUUUAGCCUCACCAAGUUGAUAACGUGCUUUGGGCUCGACAGUUGCUAGCAGUCGGGUCUUUCAACAUCUGGAGAAUUUCGCGCGACACGAAUGGACCGGUUAUUGCGAGAGCUUAACUCGAGUUUGCAGCGAAAUUUAAUCACGCAUCAAAUAAACGAGACGACAGUUAAUCAUCAUUACCAACAGAUCUUUCAGCCUUCGUUCUAAUGAACGCAAAUUUCUUCACAGACCAUGUAUUUAGUACACGUUUCAAAAAGAGAAAAUAAUACUCGUAAGUCGUACAUAAUGCAUCCUAAUUAUUCUCGCUUGCAUAUUAUCGCAAGAAAAAUUUAUGAACUUUUAUGGUUGUAUCUAUAAUUAACAAGUAUAAUAAGAGUAAAAAAUUCUAUAUGUGUGCGACAAGAAGUAAAAAUAAAAAUGUGAAACAUUUAGACGCAUGUGAAGAAAAUCGAUAUCAAAUAAUAAUAAAUUCUUAAUGUAAUCUUUGUAAAGAUGCAAUUUUUUCUUUCAGUCCUCUCACCUAAUCCCCGUGCUCGAUUUCGCGUCGGCAAUUUUCGAGAUGGCAGCUAUCACCGCAAUCAUGUGCGCGCUCGGUAACGAUCGAUCGGUGGCUCGCUCGCUACGAAAGCCGAUCGAGGAAGUCCUCGUCACGAACCAAACUGAUUGUAACGCGAGUCGUAAUACGCGUACGUGUACGACAUCGCGAACGCGACCGAGCGCGACGAAUCGAACGAGCCCCGCGGAAAAUAUCCGUACGUGAGCUCUCGGUUAUGGCCGGUUGCGCGAGCUGUUAAACUGCGCCGCGCCGCAUUGCACCGCUCCGAACCGCAUGUGGCCACGUGCGGCAUGCCGUUCGCGAGCGCAAAAGUGCCGACGUGCGCCUUCUUCGUCUCUUUUUCUACCUCCUCCGUCCUAAAUCGCUGACAUGGCGCUUAAAUACGGGGGCGAACGAACGCUCGCGAGCGGUCACAGCCGGCGAUAUUCCGCCCGUCUCCCCCCCCCCCCCGCCCUCGCCGCCGCUCGCUCGCUCGCGACCGCUAGUUUCGUGAGGGAGGUUCGCGAUUUUCCCAAGCUGUGUGUGAUAACGCGGAACCCAAUAAUUGCAUUAACUUCCACCAGUUUCCCGGGGCGUGAGAGAGCAAGCCAGUCACAUUAAAACCGAGGCAACGAUAUCGGUUUUCCUGUUUAAUUAACUUUUGUUUAAAUUGAGUGCAGUCAGCGGGCUUCUUUCGAAAAUGAUAAACUAGGCGGCCAAAUUAGCGCAGAAAUACCACAACUCUGUUAUCCAAUUAAUUUUCAUUUACAUCGUUUAGCGUGCUCGUUUCUCUGUAAGAACCAAAUAGAAAUGCAAGAAGAUACAAAACGUGAAUUACGCUGCCGAGGAAAUGACGCUCUGAGAAUUAAUAUUUGUUUUUUCCCUGAUUAAUUUCUCAUUUCGAUCAAAUGUAAAAUAAUAAGGAUUUUGCUGCGAAAAUUAGGUCGAAUUAUAUGACGUUGGAGAGCCAAUUUCGCGCAUCGCGAGUACAAAUUAAUACGCAUUUAAUUUCUACAACGCUUGUAAAAGCGUUUCUAACUUUCGAGGCGAGUGGUGUCUCGGUAUGAUGUCCGCGCGACGGCGUUGCGUUUUAUUCGCAAAAAGAACGAACCAAACGCGAACGCAUAAUAAACGCAUAAACAACGGAAAUUAUCCCGUAGCGGCGUUUUCGCGGCGCCCUUGAUGUACUCGCGCAUUUUAAACGAAUCCGCGCGAGAUGCAUGCGUGAUGUCCAGCGCAGCCGGGAAACGCCUCCCGGUGUAUUUUUACACGUAUGCGGAGACUUAUCGCCGCGACGGAAAUUAACGGGCAAAACGAAAAAGUAGGAGAGAGAAAGAGAGAGAGAGAGAGAAAUGGCGAUGCGCUUAUACGCAAAUAAUGAACCGGCCGACACGGUCCCGGUAUUUACCGUGCGGGAAACGGAUGCCGCGCGCGCGAAUCGCGAUUGCGAUAAUAUAAAGUCCACGUCGGUUUAUAGGUAUGUGUAUGUACCUAUGCAAAUGCCACUGUGUCGGCGGCGGUCUUUUUUUCCCCCUCUUUCGCGCUGUCGCAAUCGUCGUCGUCACUGCGAUUUUUCUUCAAGGUUCACGCGCGGUAAGACCGAUCGUUAUCGAUCCAUCACGGACUACAAGAGAGAGAGAGAGAGAGAGAGAGAGAGAGAGAGAGAGAGAAGACGCGCAUUAGUCGACCGGACAGGUUUGUAUCCGUUUUAUCCGUUCCCUCACGGAGAGAAACCGCCCUCCGCCUUUCUUUUCCACCGUCUCUCUCUCUGUGUCCCUUUUACCAUCGCAAUGCUUUUCGUUUAACGAGGUAUACGAUCGCCUUCGGCGGGACGUGUCCCCCGAAUUAAUCCGUGAAAGCUGCAGCACCCGCGCGCGCGACCGCCCGAUAUGCCCGGCGGCGUCUCGUCGCGACCAGCUUCGCUUAAUUAGGUAAAUAAAUUUUCGUCGCGUCUCUCGUCGUCGUCUCCGAGACGGUUCUCUUGUCUGUAACGAGGGAGGAGGAAAGGGGGAGGUGGAGGGGACAGGUACCACGUCGCGCGUCGGCCGUCGAUACACAAGGCGGACGCGUAAUUAAUUCACGCGCCCCGUUACUUAGCCUCCUCUGAGGGAAUACGAAUUUGUAACCUCCGGCUACGGCGGGGGCUUAAUAGGUCGCGAAGAGACAGGUAACGACGGACCCGACGAGAAGGCGGUAAUAAUCCCGACGAGAGCGCGAAACGAGAGAAACGCUUAUCGGGGGGGGGGAGGAGGAGGGGGGGAAACAUCGCCCAGGAUCUGGCGCACCGUCGAUUACUCCCGUAGGGAUAAACGCGCUAAAUUAUUAUUAGCACCGCGAAUAUACAUAAAAUACCAUUUACGCAUUUACAAGAGGUGAUAAAUCUGCAGAGCUACAAAAAAAAAAAAAAUAAAUUCCAAAGUUGCAGAUGUACUAAAGAGAAAUCUACGAGUUGUAAGAGGCAAACAGCUUCUGCUGUUAAAUCGUGUGUACGAACGCGAAACGGGAGGAAACUCGAUCCGGAAUCUCAAGUUCCGAGACGAAACGGCCGACCUGGGAGUGGUACGUAUACGUGGUUCUUUCACCACGUCUCGCGGAGAAGUGCUGGAGGAGGGGGAUGAAGAGGGGGGUGGAAAGACUCUGUACGACUCUCGGUGUACAACAGUCACAAUUUCGGGUCUCGCUGCUAAAUGGCCGGCCCGCGCGAUAAGGAGGCUGCGGAACAACGGGGCGCGCGUCGUUCGUGGGAAUUACGCUCGCGCGGAAAGUUUUAAUUAUCCGGCGGGGACGAGCGGCGCGGGGCGGAACGAUGUUCCACGAGCGGCGGAGUUUCCGCACUCCGCGUGCACCCAUCCGUUCGUCCGCGGUAUCGCGGCUUCGCGGCGACGGCGACGGCGACGGCGACGGUGGCGGCGGCAGCAGCACGUGCUACCGUUCUAACGAAGUUUCGCCGGCGUUCGCGCUAGUUUGCAGUUAGUUUCGCGAGUAAAUACAAUAUCGUCGUGUAAGCGGAUGACUUUGCCGCGGCAUCGACGGCAGAGGCGGCGGACUCCGGAAUAAAGCGUCGAGCUUCCCGAGUCGUCCUUCCGCCUCCUCCGUAUACUCCCGCGUACAUUUUCUCGGGUUUCCCCCUUCUCGCCUUCCUGUACGGAAAUACGCGAGCGAGUGAGAGGGAGAAGGAGAGAGAGAGAUGAUGCAGCCGCAUCGCGUGAGGCAGGAAGAAAGUUUACGCGCGAUUAAGCCCUCGUCGACUACACGCGGUCUCCCUAUCACGCGAUAUUUACGAUCCCUCUUAGUGAUAACUAUCGGCUGGAAAUCCUAAAUUAAAAUGGGAUUUUUACAAAGAAUAUUCUUACGGUAGAUAAAAUAAACACUUGUUUAUCUGUCCACCGUUCACAAUUCACUCAGGCAUUUCUAUAUUUAUACUUAAUUACAUUCAGUUAGAUAUGAUAAAUGACAUCUCCCGAACAUUGCUACGAUUAAAGAGGAAACAAGUGUCGUUUCGGUUACGUCAACAGCUUUAAAAUUGGUUCUCCUUGUCGUGAGAACAAUAAGUUACAAUGACAGGUCCAAAACUGGUUUCGGAGCGGCAGACAUGUGCUUUCGUGUUUGCUGGUUACGGGUGGUCGUGAAUAAUAGCUGACGAGUAGUCGUCUUGAUAUACCGUCCGUCAACUCGAUGUAGAAAGUCCCGUCGACGACGGGAUGUUUUGGCGUAUGUCCAGCUCUAUCUCGCGAAACUCGCAAACUUGUGCACCGUAAGGGGGAGGAAACACCGGGAUCGCAUUUGCAACAUCGCGAUUUAAAAAACGGAGAGAGUUGUGGCGGAUAAAUGAAAUAAUCAAAAUAAUCGAAAAGCGUGAAAGGAAAGACUAAUAAAAAAAUUGAUUGUAAGACUGAUAAAAAAAAAAAACAAUAAGAUCGUAAGAAAAAUAUUUACCGAGAUAACAAAGGAACAUUCGAUUUCGAUUAGCUUCUCUUAAUGAAAGAUCCCGGCGAUAUCCAACGGAGCGUAUUAUGUUCGCUAUAUAUCAUACGUCACAUCUAACGUUGAAUAGAUAUGUCGAGCCGAUUUAACGUAGGCAAGACGUAUCCAAGCUGAUUGAGUUACCUAUCUCUAUUUCUUUGUCGAGUUUAUCGUAAUUGCAUUGCGGACGAUAGGUUCUAAUAUCUCUAGCGAUUGGAGCUAGAGGAUAGAUCGGUAGAGAAAGGGAUUCCAGCGUGGAGAUAAUUGACUUUCUAUUCGAUCGCCUCGUCCAUUCCUCGUUACUCUCGACACCGCCGUGGACGUUUACCACCUAUUUCCAAACGGUUUGCCUCAAUUUUCAGACUAUUGCAUCAAACAGCGCGCUUUCAGAAAGCCGCAGUGAUUUUUCGAUCGUCUCCCAAUCUUUCCCAAACUAUCUCUUUUUAAAUCUUCCAUAACGAUUCCUUAAGCACAAGUGUACCCGCGGAUUUAAAACCCAACGGUUGAAUUCUCAAGUGGACCGAGGCUCACGUUACGGUUCCUGUAAAUUAUUCACGUGGCCUGGAGAGAGUACUGUCCCAUAAUUCUCCCCGGGGAGGAACUUUAGAACGCCGUGCCUCAGUUUUGAGAUACGGCCAUCUCGUUUCCAUAAAAAGGACGUCCAGUUAUUCUUGCCUCGCUUCUAUACCGCGCCGCGCGAGUGUCCACGGUGAAUUUCCGCGAUCACGGUAAAUCCCCCCUCCCCUCCCCCGGGAGCGCGUAUAAGCGCGGGGAAACCCGCGCGACGUGUAACGCCUUACAACCGUCCGUCCGGUUGUCGUCCGCGCGUUCGCGGCAACGGCGCGGAACGAAUCCGAACAUUUGUAUGCGCCCGGCUACAAUCCGCGCGAGCGUAACAUUCAUCUCGACGUGCCCGCGCCGGCAACGUUGUCUAACCCCCUUUUCCCCUCGAAAUGACGAGUCCGUGGCUCUGGCAGCGACGGUGGUCUAAAAGCGGCCAGAGAGACACCGAGUGACACUUGUGUGAUCCUUUGAAGUGAUAUAUGCAGUUUGUUAUACGACCAUUUUAUACGCAAGUUUAGAGCCGUAAGCGUCUCGCGCUUUCACGUCACGUCGUACAUGCUUUAUGACGCUUGCGGUAAAUGAAAAAAAAAUUGCCUACAAUAAAAUAAAUAUUUAGCGAGACGAUUUGUUUUCGAUAUAUUUGUACACGAAUAAAAUAACUCUCAAAGAUCCUCCAUCUCUUGACAAAGUCCCGGGUAAAAGUUUUUUCAAAAUGUCGACUCUGUACAUAUUUUCCCUCGCGUAUCGGAACUCGAAGAGUAAUCAGGCAGCCGUGCAGCUCGAUCUCGAGAAACGGCUAGAGAUGUCGAGACGAAAAGUUGACGCGUCAACGGUCGAUCUCGGCGAGAAAAAGACAGAAUCCAGAAACAACUAAUCCUCCGACCUAAUUAAUUCGUUCAACGUGCACGCGGUGCUCCGUUUGUCUUCGUUGCGUUAGCUGUUUCUCGCGCGCUUUGAAGACCCGCGCCGUCGUCGCGGAUUUAAAAGAGCUCCGGGAUGGAAGUGCUCCGGGCGAGCAAACACGAGCGUGGGAGGGAAUCCUUGGCGGCGCUACAGCUCGGCGGCGCGCAGCAUCUUCCGGCUAAACAUUUGGCUUUCGGAGGACAAUAGCGAUGCACGCGGUGAUCUGCAUACAGACACCGCGUCUUUAAGCCGCUUAACGUCAGAGACGGCAUUCCGACCCGACGCCGGCUCGGAUGCCGCGGUGUCUCGCAACGUCUAUCGAGGAAGCACUUAUCCAGGUAAGGUGUCCGUGGGAGAGGAAGCGAAGCCGAUCGGCAGCGGCGAAAAGACCUUGUUUUCCAGCGUGCGAUUAAUCUCCCGCGCAAUUAACUCGCCGUCGUGCAACCGGUUUAUUUUCAGCGCCUCGCGCCUCGCUUUAUUUUUACCGGGUGACCGAUCUCGUUUUUUUUUCUCACAACAAUCCUUCAUCUCUGGCCGCCAAGCAUUUUGCCAGAGUAAUCUCCGCGACAAUAUUUAGUCUGCUGUUUAGAGAAAUUUGUUUUAUUUUUUUUUUUUUUAUACGGCGGAACAGGUGAACAUCGUCAAUCACAGUUUAUUAUUUCAUCGAUUAAACAUGUUGAGCUUUGAGUAAUGACCAUUCCAUUCUUUCGCGUGUGUGACACAGUUUUUAAAUAGUAUAGUCAAGAAUGUUUUUAUUUUAAUAACACGACAUUUCUUCCUCCUGAUAUAUGAUGUUGAUUUAUUUUUCUAAAGAACAAGUCGCAGAAGACGUAUGAUCUGUCACCGAGAGUAAGAUGAUGUGAAAAUUAAAUGUAAUUUUCACUAGCGAAGUCGAAUUUUCAUCUUGGCGCGCCGUAAUACAGCGCGUCAAAACCACGGAAGCAAUAUCCGACUUACGUUCGUAAAAGUCAGAGAGUCGUCGCGUGUAAAUGUCAUUUCGUAAAAAGUUUCCUUAAUAUCCGCGGGACGCGAUCGCGUACUUUUCUCUGCGGGACAAGCAACAUCUUGCGGCGAGGGGUUUGCGGUUGUCGCGACGACACGACGACGACGACGACGACGGGGACCCGGGGCAUUUGCAUGCGCCGCAUUGCAAGUUGCUGCAGUGUGUACCUGCAACAGCAGCGUGGUGCACCAGAGGGACGACGAUCACAACGACAACGACGACGACGACGACGACGACGACGACGACGAGGAGGAGGACGACGACAACGUCGGUGACGACGACAACGAUGUUAAGGUCACUGCACCGAGGAAACACGAAAGCGUAAAAGAAUGCUGGCACCGCGGAGCGCGCAUAAAGCGGUAGAUCCCUUAUAAACGGCCUGGCUUUCAUGCUUUAAUGUAACGAGGACCGGUCUCGGCCCUGGCGGUUAAUUUUCCGGAAGUGGCCGCUCGGAGACCACACUGCAAAACACAUCCGCUCUAAAUUCCGCGAAACUAUAAUGGAAAAAAAUGACUUUUUUUCCACUUUAGAUAAGUGUGAAAUUAAAACGGAAUUAUAUAUGCAGGACAUUGUCUUUAAUGUCCUUCAUAAAUAGAACGGACUAAUGUCCGCCCUAACGGCUGCCCUCCCCUCAGUUGCAAUAAACAUCUCUAUUGCUAACCGUUGGUGCCAACACGGGCACUGAUCGACGAGGCAACCACCGCGGCAAAUGCACGGCAUGCGACCGCGACGAAUUUGAGUUGUCUCCCGCGGAUGACAACGCAAACGUGUGCUUCUUUUCUCACACGCUCAUAGGCGAAUAAUGCCCGCAAGAGGAGCACACACCCGCGUCACCAUCCUCGGGAAGCAACCCAAAUUCGCAAUCACAUGCCGCAUACCCACCGCGACGGCCACCGCGCCGAUCGACAUCCACAACUAGCACCAACAAUUAGCAACAAAAACACUCAUCACAACUGCGAAGAGAACGGCCGUCAAAGCAGACAAGCUAACAGACUGUUGUAACAGUGAACGACAAAGCUAUCGCUACCGCUCGCGCCAUAUUGCGUUGCCAGCAUAGUUUUGUUUAUUUCGUCCGCUUUAAUAUACAUGACGGACCACAUCCUUUAUAAUGUCCGGACCACAUCCUUUAUAAUGUCCGGUUUAACGUCUAUUCUAUAAUAAUUAUUUUCAGUCCUAUUUAUAUAAAAGACAUUGUCAUACAUAGAUAAAAUGUCACAUUAAGAAUUGCGCCAGUCACGCUUAAGUAAAAUGGACACGUAAGAAAUCCGUUCUAAUAUUGUAUAUUCCGUUAUAAAAUAUACAUGUCCUUUAUAUAUAAAGAGGAUAUGCUUUGCAGUGCACGGCGCGCGGCGUUAAAUAAUCCAGAAUUUCGGCGGAAUGCGAAACCGCGUCGCGCACCCCCUUCCCCGGGGGAGUAAUCGCGCGGAUAACGCAGAUAAACGUUCCAUUUUAAUGUCUUGAUACGCGGCAGACGCGACCCGCGUCGAUUGUAACUGCUUGCACAGCCCGUUAAGGAUUAUCCCUUAAUCUACAACAUGGAUAUUGCCAACGUGCCAUGUUUCUUCCGUGCCAUGUUUCGUUUUUACACUACACUGGAAAAAGAGUUUCGUAAUAAUAAUCAAGCCUAGAUGAUAAUUAACAUAGUCAAAUAUUUAUUCGAAAUUAUUUCACUAAGCUUGACUAUCGUUUAUCAAACUCUUCCCAAUUUACGUUCGUUUCGUAAUAUUGCAAACAUAUUUUCAUAACUUUCACGAUAAAAAAUAUAUGUUAUAGAAGAAUUUUAUAGAAAAAAAACUAAUUAUAGCUUAUACAACAUUCAAAAUAUAAUUCAGUUAUUUCUUCUGUUUAAUAAUUUUAUUUAACUCGUUAUAACGGAUCUCGAGACUUACGGCUGACUACGUACAAUUGACGGCGUACGUAUGUGAGACUCGGAAUAUUACAAAUAUCAAAGUAAAACAUUUUUUUAUGAGAACGGUUUUAAUAACUGGGAUACACGAUAUACGUAUAAAUAUAAUACACCAUUGCAACCGGCUCGAAUAACAUGACGUGGCGUUUGCUAUUAUUCACUUAAUGAUACGCAACGAGAUAUGACUAGUUAAAAGGGGAUCGCGACCUAUUAUUUGUAUACGGGCUAUUAUUUGAAAGUUAAUUGACGCAUUGAUUGCGCCAGAGAGCACGAUCCAAAUCGUCCGGUCUCUAAACAGACAACCGCCGCGGGAAUUGAACUUCGACCGUCCGAUGCAGCCGAGAGAGAGAGAGAGAGAGAGAGAGAGAAAGAGAGAGAGCAUAAUACCCGUCGUGAAAGUCGAUCUGCGAACGUCAUCGUAAUCUCGCGGCGAUUCCCACACGGGAAAUGGCGGUGAAUAAAGUGGAGGAGUUAACGUACGACGAAAAUUUCGUCGCGUCGUCGCUCGGAAUGAGGGAAGUCGCGGCAAGUAACGACGUCGCGUGUAAUUAACGUAAUGGCUCUCCGUGACCGCGACGUCGAAGCCGGCCAUUACCGUAACGAUUCGACCCGUAAUUCAUUCCAAGUAGAAUCAAUCCCAAACCGGGGAGGAAACACGAUAAUCGGUCGUUGGGCGCCUACGUGCGAUCGCACCGAUAAACGUAUGGGAUUCCCGCGCGAGGGAGGAAGAGGCCGAUUCCUCCCUACGGUUCGUUGACUUUCAUCCCGCGUUUGCUCGUUUCUCUUUCUUCUCUUUGUUCCUCUUUUUGCCGCGCGAACGCGCGUCUGAAAGAUUCCCCCCGAAAUUGCUUUUUCUACACGGAUACUAGCAACCCACGGCUUUCGUCUGGAUAAAUACGCGACGAGCGUGCCGAUCGAGGAUGCUGUACGAGCGCGUGGGUGACGACACGACUCACAAGCUGAUCGUGAUCGAAUGAGGAAAGCAAGAACGACGAUUAUCUGCAUGUGCUCGUAAAGCGAUGAUUAUAAAGCCUCAUACGGAGAAUAGGUACGAAAUAUCGCGAGUGAUGCAAUGUAAAUUGCUCGAUGCAAUCAUGGAUAAAUAGCGAGGGCAAAUCCGCUUUGUGAUAAUUUAGAAAAAAUAUAAUAGAAGAAUAAAUUUACUUAUAUUAUAUAUUUAUACAUUGAGACAAAAAAAUAUUUGAAAAUUUAUUUCAGCAAAAUUUAUCUUGCUGAAAUAAAUCUUCAUUUAAAUGCGUUAAAAUAAAAUUUUUACUCCCAGCAGAUAAAUCGAUUAGCAAGACAAAUGAGAAUUUCACAAAAAUAUAUAAUUUGCCAUUAUAAUCAACUUUUUAUACGAUCAAUAAAUAUCGAACGAAAAAUAACGUCACGAGUAACAUUUACUUGCUACUAUUUUACCUUUUCCCUCGGUGUAAAAUUUCGCAAUGCUUCUGAACGAAAACUAUUAUGCGCUCGGGAUUGUAAUUAAAAUGUUUUUUAAUUUAUAAAUGUUACAACCAAUAUAUGUCUCUUUAUAUUCCCACCACAAAUGAAAGAAGGUAACGUCUACCGAAUCUUCCACUAAAGAAGACCCGACUCCAAACGCUUCUUUACGCAAUCAAACCAACAAGUUACUGACAUAGCAACAAUUGAAUCGUUCGCGAGACGAACGAUUGACCCGGCUAUUCAUCGGCAGACAAAUCCCCGCAACUCGGCAGCGCAUGACGAUACGCGCUCGUGGCUCGGUAACGAAGCGAAUUCGAUCAUCGAGCGUAAACGACAAAUCGCCCCGCGAAACCGGAAGCCGGUCAUUGAGCCGGUGCACGAGGAGGAGAGACGAUCCAGGGAGCUCCCCGGAUUUAUUAUGCUAAACACCUCGGUCCCCGGGUGUCGGAGUGUGGCGGAAACGGGCAGCGUCAGUCGCCCGCAUCGAUAUUUUAACUAGAUUAAUGUCGUCGGCGUGCAAAAUCGUCUAAAUCGACGUUAAUCUCGCGGCGCAUCCUUCCCGAACGUCGGGUCUUUAAUCAUUCCGAGGGGAUCACUCUCUCUCUCUCUCUUUCUCUCUCUGCCGACUGGUCGUCGGUGCAGCCGCACGUCGCGGCGUUUAUUACUGACAAAGGAGAGAACGAAUGAGCCGAGGGAACUGCCUGCGUACGAAACGCGCGUACUUUUUUCUUUUACGACGCUUCCGGUGGCGGGCGAGAACGUAUAAACGUAUCGUAUCGACAUUUGCAUUCGCAGCGAACGAGCUCUUUCGCUAUUUCGUCGCGAGGCUGCGCGUGUAUACCGUACAAACGCUUUUUGCUCGGGUUAUAUAUACGUUCCUCGCCGGGCUUGGCUUAGCUCUCGGCGCGCGCGUUCACGCGCUUAGUGGCUUAUUACGCCAAAGCACAUAAUGGGCCCGAGUAUAGUGCCUUACGUGCCGGCACACACGUGAUUCGUCAGUAACAAAUUUGCCGCGCUUAUCUCGUCGAGAGGCACGGUAUUACGAGGUAUUACCGGCAAAUAAUAUCGUAUAACUGCUGUAACACGAUCGCAAAUGCGAUACGAGAGAAACGGGAGAAACGGGCGAACUCCAAAGAUUUGUUGCAUCGCGUCGUGUGACGCGUUUUACGGUUUCGCACGCGAAUAUUUACGAUUACGACGGAACGUAACGCGGACCGUUCGCGUUGAUUAAAAAAAAAGUACUGCUGAUCUCCCUCCCCCUCCCCUCAAAAGUUCGCGCAAAAUCGAAAAGAUUAUCGAAAUUAAUCGCGUUCGCCUGAUUACUGAGCUCGUUGUUCCGCUUGGCGUCGCGACGCAAAUUACAAAAGUUUCACGCGAGCGACGUACCUCGUCAAACCCUCCCUCCCUCCGCGCAUGGAUCUCUCUCUUUCUCUCUCUCUCUCUCUCUCUCUUCCUAAAAACCCUCCGAAUUAUUCAACGGCGUAAUUCGCGAGCGUCGCUUCGUCAACGAAUAAUUCUCUGUCCGGCGCGCGCAAUCAGCGCGGUUCGGUCGUUUUUGCUAAUUAACCGUCCGCGAAAAAUUCAGCUAGUGCUCGCUAAAUCGCUAAACGCAUUAUAUCCUCACGUCCCUUCGGGCCCUCAUUAUCGAUCGCGAGGCCAAACGAGGCGUGCCACGAUAUCAAUUUUUAAUCCAUUUACAUGAAAUAUAAUUCUUACUUUGAUAAUUAGGAGAAUUGGAAACCGAUUUCCUAUUACGAAUUCAACUUGAUUGCAUUGUUUCGCCGCUUUUUCUUCCGUCCGAGAUUUAAAUCGGGGCUGUAUAUAUGCGGACGCUUCGUUACAGUCUCAUUCUCCUUUUCCCGGCAUUAUCCUCCUUAUCUACGGCAAAAGAGACGCGAUUCUAAAGGACAAUCCUCUUGAAGGAUUGUUAAAGGUAGUUUGCCUGUUAUACAACUGUACCAGCCGAUCGGUGAAUAGGCUGGCGAGGUAAGGCUGCGCGCGGGCAAUACCCAGCUCCGUUGUCGAGCUCCCGAACCACCCCCGAUCGCGACAAGUUCCCGAUCCCGGCGCGGCGAGGGCAGACCGACCCCCACAGCCGGCGAGUGUGAGAAAGAUGACGAAGGGUGAGCGAGGUACCUUCCACUCGAAGAAUUUCACAAACGAAACCAAUUUCCUGCCGUGCCGGUCGCGCACCUUCGACCUUCCUUCUCGUUCGCGGCGGCGGGUCACGCUGCCACCCCGCGCGUGGAAUCUGGCAUUCUCUGAUUCACGUCUCCCUUUUUACCCCGACGCGCCGGCACGAGAUUGCCCGAGAGACGUAGGUAGUAUUACCGAGGCAGUCGCACACGCACCGAUAAAGGAAUAGCGUCCCGUAUCGUACGAAUGAACGGAAGGGGGACCGAGAAAGAAAUUGAAAUGAUAGACGUAAAAUCGACUUGAUCGUGUGAUCUUACAUCGUCGAAAUUUUCCGGGAUAUCGUUAAUUGAAUUAAUUAUAAACGUGAAUUAAUUGUACGAGCGAUAUUACAUUAAUCACUUUACCCAUCCAAUCUUGACGCUUUCAUACGCAGGAUAUUCGCACGAUACUUUAACAGCCUUGUAGGUUGUAGGUUAAUUAGAGUCGAAAAUAUCCGUACGAGAAUGUCGAGGAUGUAAUCAUUUUCGAGUUAAGCGCAAUUAAAAUUAACCAAUUAUAUGGCGCAGAAUUCGCAUGUAUCCAUAAAUACGUUUACAUAUGUGUUAUCUAUUGUAGAAUUUGUAAAAUGUUUAUCGAUCUGUUAUCUAUUGUAGAAUUUUACAGCUGAGCUGAUACUGAAAUUAGUUUCUAUCGCUCAGAUUUUGGUUUCUAUACAUAGAUAUUUAUAAUCAAAUACCAUAUCGCGAUUCUGACUGACUGAUCAAUAUUUUAUGGUUCCUUGAAAUUUCAAAUACACGUGUCUCCUACUCUUCCUCUCUGGUUGUACAUGUGCACGCACACGCGCGAAAACGCGUUUAAUUACAACUGAACGCGACCGAAAUAGUCAUCGGUGUGCGACAAUCGGGCGACACUUUACACUUGCGACGUGUACGCUUUCCUCUACUUAAGUCAUUCAAUUUCAUCUCGUUCCGUGCAUUAUCCCGCGCACGAAACGCGAAGUAACUUUACGAAAUUUGCCGUUAGCGAGUAUUCAUCGCGUUUCGAAGAGUAAUGCGUAACAGUUACCUGUCCGCUCGAAGGUCUUUGUACGAAUGAUGAUGUGGCAAUGAACCUUGUACACAGCAUCACGCUACUCCAUAAAAAACAAAAACCAAGGCCACGUGCCUGCCGACUAUAUAUAUUGUCAUGUAAAAAUAUUAUUAUGGAUCUCUAGUAUUCCAAUCAAAAUAUUAUAUAAAUCUAAUAUUUUAUAAUACUAAUUUACGCAGAAUAUUCUUCAAAUGCUUCUUUUACAAAAAUUUAAAAUUUAUCUUCAAUUAAAUGUUAAUUUAAAGAGCAAAAAGUUAUUCCUUUUAUUUCUUUUUUCUAUUUCAAUAAAUUUACAUUAUGAAAGCAAAAUUGCGCGACUGCACUAAGUAAAUGGAAUUAAAUUGCCGCAGAAAAUGUAAUAACUGAUCUUAAAUUCUUAAUUUGUUAAAAUCGUGCAAUUUUAUUAUUCUCGGAAUAGAGUAUUUUUCUGAUUACUAAACAAAGACAAUUAAAAAGUAAAAUUAGAUUUUUUUUAAUAGAAAAAUUAAUUAGUCAUACAAAUAAGUGUAAAAAAAGGCUGAAAUAACUUGUAAAUGUAAUAGUUAAAAUUUGUUAUUUGUUAAAUUAAUAAGUAAUUUACUUAUACUGAUAGUUUCAUGCAUAUAAGCAGUAGAAAACAAAAUAAACAAUAUCACAUAUGAUGUUAAGAAAUAUAUAAAAAUUAAUAAAAAACCGAUACUCUAAUACCAUAAUUUUAAAUCUAAAAUUUAAAGAUAAUAGAACGCACAUGAGAAUAUAAAAUAUAAUUGAGACCAACUUUGAUAUAAAAUUCAGUCAUUAUUAUGACCUCAUAUUUUCAUAUUAGAAUUUUCAACUCUAAUUAGAUUCUCUGAAGUUGAGGGUCAUUCAAUUCCAAACAAACAAUCAGGUUAUAAUUGAAAUUAACCGAUGCUAAUGAAAUUGAUUAUAAGUCCAAUUAUCAGGCAUCCGUUAAUUCAUCAAAAAUAGCCCUUUAAUAGUUGUAAUAACACGGAAUGCUAAUUUUCCACUAUGCAAUAUCCUGCAUCCAAGCGCCAUGGAAUCAUGGAACAUGAAGUGCCGAUAGGACACGACUAUGCAGCAAGGUAUGUUCUAUAAUGCCGACUUCCGAGAAAGAGAUUCCAUGUAAAAGGGAUUCGACAUACCGGAAAAGCUUUCUCGAAUUUUCUCACGUCACAUGGCGCGAGCGUUAAGAUACGAAGAGAGAGAGAGAGAGAGAGAGAGAGAGAGAGAGAGAGAGAGAGAGAGAGAGAGAAAGCGAAAGCAAAGUAUGCAGUAUCUCCCGACGAGUGCACAGGGUGCACACAGGGAACGAAUUAAAGCGCGGAAAUUUCUAUUAAAACGUAAAUUUCUAUUUCUAUGCGAAUUACGAGUUCGAGUAUAUGUUCUUUUGGAAUGUUCGCCGCUAGAGACGUAUUAAAAGGGACGCUCGCUAUAAAAUUUUCAUUUUAAUUAUCCGUCUCUCGCGGAACGUGAAAAAGUAGCGGUAGUAGUUAACGCUAACAAAGUGUCCCCUUGUACCGAGAUAACGCAACGGCGAGACACAUUUUUCGCCUCAUCGUGAAUUAAAAAAAAAAAACCGCCAACGCGACGGCAGUUACCGAGUUGAAACUCCUCUGUAUCGCGUCACGCAGCAUUUUUUAUUUUAAUUACGCGGCUCACCAUCUAUAGUGAAGUUGAAUGAGUCGCGUGUUAAACGUCUGUUUCUUUCCCAUCUUCGUGAUGUGCAUCUUUAUCCACGGGGAGAAAAAGGAUUUAACUUAGACAAUUCCGUGGUUACACAAUUGGCAAAUAAAACGUUUUUAUCACAGACGUAAUAUUGUAAAUUUAAAAAAGCUAAUUUCUCACGAAACGUUCUGCGGGUUUUUUUUUCUCGUUUUCACACUCUCCAGGCAUUUCAUCAUUGGCUUUAUUCGAUUUCGGUGUUCGGUUGUUCUGCGAACGAUGGGAUGGAAUGAAAAGAGAGGAGGAGAACAGCUUUUAUUGCGCAAAUCGCAUUUAAAUCGCGGAGAAACAUCCAAACGAACUCGAUCACGCGAAGAUCAAGAGUGACGUGUCCUCCAAAGGGUAGCGGGGACGCGGGGGAUGUUAUCGUGUACGAUGCAGAAGCAAAUUUUUCUACCUGCAUACCGGAUAACAUUCCCCGUUAUAUUGAAAUUCAGCGACAGCACGCGGUCUCGUCGAAGCGACUAAAAGCACUCGUCGCCGCGUGAGAUACGACGAGGUGAGCUCAAGACGGGGAGAAAAGCCCGGCAUGAAUCGAUAUAUCGACACGGGCCAUUUUUUUUCUCCCUUUCUAUAAAUAGCCAAACCACCGGCGCCGGAUUACGUAUAUAGAGACGCGCGGCUCUAUGUCUAUCGUCUCGAAUAGAUUAGAGCGUUGCGCCCUGUGCGCCGUGUCACCGACGUCUGAUUUACGAUUGCAGAUAGGUAUACCCACUUCCCACGCACGGAGGUAUCCCAGUACGUUUUAUAUAUUUCUGUACGUGCCAAGAAACAAUAGCGUUCCUCCCGCGAUACUUUUAUCGAAAACGACGCGCGCGCGGAAAAGAGAAUCCCCGCUCAAUUUUAACAGAAUCGUACGAGCCACCGGCUCGCGAGAAAGAACAAAAGCGAUAAUGGAUAAUGAUCUACGAAAAAGCAAUUACCCCAGGAAUGUUCCCGCUAAUAACAAACAGAAAGUUAACAAUCCCGUUGAGCGAAGUAGAUGUGGCGGGAGAGUACGGGAGAUAUUUCCGCGAAAUUGUAAAUAAAACGGUGGAAAAUUCAACCAAGUUGCUAAUUCUAUUGUUUUCAAGCGUUUAUUAUUGUAUACGAGAAAGUUACUCCGAUCAGUUUUGUUUCCGCGCAAGCGGAACAAAUACGGAUGACGUACCACAACGAUGGCAGAUAUGAAGAAAAUAUGAAACAGAUACAUUACACCCGUGUAAAAACCGCGAGCGCGUCCUACUUUGCACUUGUUUGUCCUCCCCCGUUGUGCCGCUCACUCCGAUGCGCUCACUCGUAAAUUUAUGAAUGAUAAGCCGCAAACUUUACAGCACCGUAACUCAGUCAAAAUUGCCCGGGGAGAUGGGGUAACUUUCGGCAUUUUUCCUACACGCUGUGCGACACAACGUUACCUACAAGUGCCCAUUUAAAAGAUACUCUCCCCGGCUCUCUCUCUCUCUCUCUCGAGCUUUUUUUUUUUGCAACCGCGAAAGGUUUUUCGAGAAAAAUUUUUACUGCCGUGAGCAGGAAAUUAUUUAACGUGAUCAAUUACGGGACACGUUACAAUAGUUACAGAGCGUCGAGAGAUGCGGCGAUAUUGUUGAACUUUGUGAAUAAAUUAACCGUCGUUUUGCAAUACACAACUCGUCUUUUCUAAGGGGAGCAUAAAAAAAUAGAUAUACGCGCGCGAAACGCGUGUUGCAAUAGCAUAAUAAACGCGGGUAUUAAAUUUCCGAGGGAUCGGAAAGGGUAGAAAUGAAAAUCGGGGGGAGAUUCGAUUAAACCAUCAAGAUCGAUGAAAAUUCAUUCCGCGAAUAUUUCCGGCUCGUUCGUUUCGCACGGGCGAAAAAGAUCGAGAGAAUUGCAGCCGGACUAGAUUGCUACCGCCUCCCGCGGACACAAUAUAAACGUGGGUUUCGAGUCGCUCAAGGGGCCCAUCAUCAUUGUACCGCUCGCUCUAUCCCGACAGAAGAUGCAAAUUUGUAAGCCCCGUUAGGACCCGGCUGCUGCUGCUCCUGCUUUGAAUCGCCACACGAGCCCCGGCGCUCGUAAAUCGCACGGGUGGUGGCGGUUCCCUCCGUUUCUAUCGCCGUUCAGGUGCAUACAACAGAGUACGUUACAUUGGUCGCGCCGGCGCGGCGCCCACGCCGCCGAAACCUAUUUCAGGAAUAAUGCCCGCGCUAUCUGUCCCUGAUAGGGGCGACGGACUACGGCUGGCCCGUAAUAGGUAUCCCUCCUGAGUAAUUCUCCCGUGUCUCUCCCGAAAGGCAUCCGGCGUGACCAACGAAAAUUGAGGUUACGCGGUGGACCGUACCGAAGCAGAUCGGCCUGGGCAGCGUGCACGCUCGUCACGCUUGCAUUGUGUUCUCGAUUAACCGCAGGGACAAACGAGUAUCUUACGAGACACGCUCAAAUGCCCGGACGGCAAUAUAUUCGACGUCGCGCAGGGAAAAGGGGAGGGGGAAGGAUCUUGAUAAAGAUGCAAAGAGAUAUUCGGUUGCGGGACGGGUUUCUCCGCUAAAAUAUUUCCUUAUUUGCCUGGGCGACGUAAUGCUCCGUUUUAUGAACAAGUUUCCCUCGACGCAUCCAUUGCGAUGCUCCGCGUCGCGGCCGAACGAUAUUCGAAGAAGAUGCGAAGCGAGCGCGCCCGAGUCAUGUCUCCGGAAUCGUUAGACGUCUCGCGAAACUAAAUUUAUCCCGCAAUAGUAUUUACUCGGCCGGCAUAUAUUAUAACGCGGGGGAGGGGGAUGACGCGAGCGCCAAGCCUCGGCGCCUCUCUCGCCUGGGAAAAACGAGAGUAGCCGCUUACUCGAUCCUCGCCGACGCGAUCGCCACGAGAUUAGAUACACACGGCCGUCGUUCUCCGCGUCGCGCACGGUUGUAUAAAUGUAUGCGAGGAUGAUAACAUACGGGCAGUUGAGACCGGGGCAAUGAGCCACGAAGGCAGGCAUCGACGAGGAACAUUCCCGUCGGACGGGAACGGUCUUCGACCUGUACACCAUCAUCCCGCCUACUUACGGAAAGCAUGCGGCGCCAAAUCCCUCGGUGGCGACGUCGUCGCCGUCGUCGUCGAGUGGAGGAGGCGCAAGAAACGGAGGAAAGGAGGAGCAGGCACAAGAACGGAAGAAGAAGCCCGGGAACGGCGAUCGCACACCGGCAGACGAUGGUAACGAUGGCGCGGAUCUCUCUCUCUCUCUCUCUCUCCCUCUAUCUCUCGAAAUUGCGACGUCGUGAGUCACUUUGCAUGAGAAUAGUCCUUACAUUGUCGGGGCAGAUGGUAUGAUCGAUUUUACAAAGUGGUUAGAAGGGACAAUUUUUCUUUUGUAAUACUAUGUCAACUUCUGGAUCAGCGCUGACGCCGCACCGACGAGGAAGACGAGCCCGAUUAUAUACCUUAUCGUAAAUCUCGGAGGUUGUCACACACAUGUGAAGCGCGAGAGCGCCUGCUUCGCUACGAUGUAAAAUUUAUCUUGAAAAGAAUUAAUCACACGUGACAGUAAUACGCGCGAGCAUUUCCGACUGAUUAAAAUAUUUCUUGUCAAAUCUCUCGGAACUAAUCAUAAGCAUGUAUCGGAAACUUGAAAUAAAAAAAGCCUCUACCAUAUUAUUCCGUUUAAAACUCCCACGCGGUCAAUCUUAUCGCAUAAUUAAAUUAAUAAGUAUAUUAAUUUAAUUAAACAAGUAUGUGCAUGGUUCAAAGAUAAAAUAUUGGAUUCGAAUCGCUCAAUUAAUGUGACAUAUUUCGGGUGUAUUUUAUCCAAAUAUAUCUACGAUAUAUACUACUCUCGUGCAUUUUCUAUUCCGUUCACGUGCGUCUCCCGCACGAGUUACAAAAUAUUCUUGUUCGAUGCGCAAGAACGUAAAUCAUCACGACGAUUUCUGGCGGGCGCAAUACCUCCGUAUUCGCUCGUGCUCUCGAGGCAACGUAAAACGAUAGUUUCUCAAGCCGGCGAAAACCGCGCCCGAGAGUCGGUUCCCGGUAAAUCGUCUCGGAUUUCCCGGCAUAUUUUCGUCCCCUUUUAUUCGCACUCUAUGCUUCCUGUAGCUUUAUGUUCCUCGGGACGAACAUCGCUCACCACUCGGUCCCGUAUUUCUUACGCCGCUCGUAUUUUUGCCUUUUACUGAGGCACCCGCGGUUUGCAUAUUCGUCGCAAAGUCGUCCCCGGGACAUUCGCAAGUAAAUCAUAACUGUAUAUCUUCGUCGCUUGCUCGCCUCGCUUUUGCGAAAAAAAAAAAAAA